UUGUGGAGGAGGACGCCGAAGGUGGGGCUAAUGACUGGGGUGAAGUCGUAACAAGGUAGCCGUACCGGAAGGUGCGGCUGGAUCACCUCCUAACAGGGAGACAACAAAAUGUUUAAUAUUAUUAUUUUGUCACCUUAGGUCGAUCGGUAUCUCACGUUCUUAAUUAGUUAAGAAUUUCAAUUUCUAAGUUUUUCUAGGUCACACCCAUUAUUUUUCCUGGGCCAUUAGCUCAGGUGGUUAGAGCGCACCCCUGAUAAGGGUGAGGUCCCUGGCUCAAGUCCAGGAUGGCCCAUAUCUCUAUGCUGGGGGUAUAGCUCAGUUGGUAGAGCGCCUGCUUUGCAAGCAGGAUGUCAGCGGUUCGAGUCCGCUUACCUCCACUGAUUACCACCUCUUCCAUAAUUUGUAGAAGGGAAAUGUUUUGAGUUGUGAUCAAAUUCUGAACGAAUCUAGCUUCCUAAUGAAAGUAUUAAGAUGCUGGACUCAUUGAAUUAAUUUCAUUGUUUUCAGAGAACCUUGACAACUGCAUAGAUUAUUUUUUAAAGACAAUAAGCAUCUUUAAUGAUGCAGAUUUAUUAUUUGUGCGAAUGCAUUAAUAACAAUUCUAUUAAGCUGAUGCUUCAAUUAGAAGUUAUUGGUCAAGCUACAA
rnacentral:misc_RNA from 1 species